rnacentral:rRNA from 1 species
UCCAGACUCCUACGGGAGGCAGCAGUAGGGAAUCUUCCACAAUGGGCGAAAGCCUGAUGGAGCAACGCCGCGUGGGUGAAGAAGGUCUUCGGAUCGUAAAACCCUGUUGUUAGAGAAGAAAGUGCGUGAGAGUAACUGUUCACGUUUCGACGGUAUCUAACCAGAAAGCCACGGCUAACUACGUGCCAGCAGCCGCGGUAAUACGGAGGAUGCGAGCGUUAUCCGGAUUUAUUGGGUUUAAAGGGUGCGUAGGCGGACUGUUAAGUCAGCGGUAAAAGCCGGGGGCCCACCCCCGGCGAGCCGUUGAAACUGGCUGUCUUGAGAUGUCGAGAGGUAUGCGGAAUGCGCAGUGUAGCGGUGAAAUGCUUAGAUAUUGCGCAGAACUCCGAUUGCGAAGGCAGCAUACCGGCGGCGAUCUGACGCUGAGGCACGAAAGCGUGGGUAUCGAACAGGAUUAGAUACCCGUGUA